GAGUUUGAUCGUGGCUCAGAUUGAACGCUGGCGGCAGGCCUAACACAUGCAAGUCGAGCGGUAGAGAGAAGCUUGCUUCUCUUGAGAGCGGCGGACGGGUGAGUAAUGCCUAGGAAUCUGCCUGGUAGUGGGGGAUAACGCUCGGAAACGGACGCUAAUACCGCAUACGUCCUACGGGAGAAAGCAGGGGACCUUCGGGCCUUGCGCUAUCAGAUGAGCCUAGGUCGGAUUAGCUAGUUGGUGAGGUAAUGGCUCACCAAGGCGACGAUCCGUAACUGGUCUGAGAGGAUGAUCAGUCACACUGGAACUGAGACACGGUCCAGACUCCUACGGGAGGCAGCAGUGGGGAAUAUUGGACAAUGGGCGAAAGCCUGAUCCAGCCAUGCCGCGUGUGUGAAGAAGGUCUUCGGAUUGUAAAGCACUUUAAGUUGGGAGGAAGGGCAGUAAAUUAAUAACUUUGCUGUUUUGACGUUACCGACAGAAUAAGCACCGGCUAACUCUGUGCCAGCACG
rnacentral:rRNA from 1 species